AGAAUAGGUUCGUUUACGCGGCGGUGGGAGACCCGAUGCCGAAGAUCUCGGGGGUGGUGAAGCUGGACGUGUCGAAGGUGGAGGAGCGGGGGGAGUGCACGGUGGGAUGCAGGAUGUACGGCGAGGGAUGCUACGGCGGGGAACCGUUCUUCGUGGCGAAGGAGGAAGGGGGCGAGGAGGACGAUGGGUACUUGGUGACCUACGUGCACGACGAGAGGAAGGGAGAGUCGAAGUUCUUGGUGAUGGACACGAAGUCGCCGGAGCUGGACGUGGUGGCGGUGGUGAGGCUUCCACGGCGGGUUCCGUACGGUUUUCAUGGGUAUUUUGUGAAGGAAAGUGACCUUAGGAAGGCGGUGUUGUUGUGAUGAUUGAGGUGUGGGAUAGCGCCAUU
rnacentral:lncRNA from 1 species